rnacentral:rRNA from 1 species
GGCGAUGGCGGCAGUCUACCAUGCAAGUCGAGCGGUAACAGAUCCAGCUUGCUGGAUGCUGACGAGCGGCGGACGGGUGAGUAAUGCAUAGGAAUCUGCCCGAUAGUGGGGGAUAACCUGGGGAAACCCAGGCUAAUACCGCAUACGUCCUACGGGAGAAAGGGGGCUUCGGCUCCCGCUAUCGGAUGAGCCUAUGUCGGAUUAGCUAGUUGGUGAGGUAAUGGCUCACCAAGGCCACGAUCCGUAGCUGGUCUGAGAGGAUGAUCAGCCACAUCGGGACUGAGACACGGCCCGAACUCCUACGGGAGGCAGCAGUGGGGAAUAUUGGACAAUGGGGGGAACCCUGAUCCAGCCAUGCCGCGUGUGUGAAGAAGGCCCUCGGGUUGUAAAGCACUUUCAGCGAGGAAGAACGCCUAUCGGUUAAUACCCGCUAGGAAAGACAUCACUCGCAGAAGAAGCACCGGCUAACUCCGUGCCAGCAGCCGCGGUAAUACGGAGGGUGCAAGCGUUAAUCGGAAUUACUGGGCGUAAAGCGCGCGUAGGUGGCUUGAUAAGCCGGUUGUGAAAGCCCCGGGCUCAACCUGGGAACGGCAUCCGGAACUGUCAAGCUAGAGUGCAGGAGAGGAAGGUAGAAUUCCCGGUGUAGCGGUGAAAUGCGUAGAGAUCGGGAGGAAUACCAGUGGCGAAGGCGGCCUUCUGGACUGACACUGACACUGAGGUGCGAAAGCGUGGGUAGCAAACAGGAUUAGAUACCUUGGUAGUCAA